CAGGCUCGCGGUGUUUACCCAACACCCUCAGGUGCAGCGACUGAGGCGUCGCUAGGCAACCGCACCAUCCCUGGUGCCGCUCUGCCUCUGGCACUCAAGUGGGAGCUUAUGUGGACUUAACUCGGAAAAGAGCAGCAGGGCUGAGGAGCGGAAGGGAGGAUUACCAGGAAAAAUAUUGGAUUGGGCCGAGACACAAGGGCCGAGGCCUUACCUGAGUCCCCGCUGCCGUCGAACAUAGACGCCCUGGUUCCCACACAACCAGAAAGAGACCCCGGGACCAGAAACCAAUAAUUCUGCUCUGCAGCACAAAAUCCUAAAACUACAACUGGACAACAGCUCCUUCACAAACUUUUUCUUCCUUGGUGCAAAGAGGACCGCUACCUUAGGUCCUUCCUCCCAGAGACUACCUUCAGAACCAUCACUCCUCCUAACAAGCUCCACAACUGUUUACAUCGCUGUGAUUACUUGCUCUUUUUCCAUUUCUUGUAAAUAGUUGGUUGUUGUUUAUAAAGGCGCAAUAUUGUGCAAAAUGAACAUUUUUGAGCAUUACAUCGUGCUUUUACGUUAUUCUCUCAUCAGAAACAGACCUGGAGCGUUGCCUUGAUCCCUUCAUGCGUGUUUGAGAAAUGCUUUAAUCUCCCAUGGCAACCAUUCAGCUGUGCAAAACGCCCGGGUGGACCUAGCCCCGCCUUCGAGGACGGCUCUCCUCCUCUGAGCUGCAGUUUCUAAGCUUCUGAGCUGGUAAAAAUGUUGUCAAGAGGGUUAAUAGGGGAGCCAUAUAAUAGAGGAGGAGUUACAGAAAGAGCAGGAGUUUUUAAAGAGACAGGCACAACUUCAAGGUGUUAAAUUACAAAUUCAAAUUUCUCCUAGGUCACAUCUGAUAUGUACAGCAUUCUUAUAAAAACUGAAGGCAACAUAGUUACUUCACGGUGCUACUGCCCUUUUAAUGCUCAACUAUGAAUGCACAUUUGGCACACUUUUUUUCUUUUUUUUUUAAAUGACCCUACUCAGUUGUAGAGUGCAAUGUUGAAUUGAAUAACUGUGCAGUAUUGUUUUCUUAUGUUGUAAAGUCUCUUUUUUUUUGUCUGUUUUGUGAAUUUUCCCAUCGUGUGACAAUAAAGGAUAUUUCUGCACUAUU